CAGAGAUGGAGGUGUGGCCUUUGUGCUUGUGACGGAGAUGGAGGUGUGGCCUUUGUGCUUGUGACGGUGAUGGAGGUGUGGCCUUUGUGCUUGUGACGGUGAUGGAGGUGUGGCCUUUGUGGUUGUGACGGUGAUGGAGGUGUGGCCUUUGUGCUUAUGACGGUGAUGGAGGUGUGGCCUUUGUGCUUAUGACGGUGAUGGAGGUGUGGCCUUUGUGCUUGUGACGGUGCUGGAGGUGUGGCCUUUGUGCUUGAGACAGUGAUGGAGGUGUGGCCUUUGUGCUUGUGACGGUGCUGGAGGUGUGGCCUUUGUGCUUGUGACUGUGAUGGAGGUGUGGCCUUUGUGUUCGUGACGGUGAUGUAGGUCUGGCCUUUGUGUCUGUCAGUCUAAGUGAAGGAGGUGUGGCCUUUGUGCUUGUGACAGUCUAAGUGAAG
ensembl:lncRNA